UUUACUGAGAGUUUGAUCCUGGCUCAGGAUGAACGCUGGCGGCGUGUCUAAGGCAUGCAAGUCGAUUGUUCCGCAGCAAUGCGGGACAAGGCAAACGGGAGCGGAACACAUUGGUAACCUACCUUGAGCUCGAGCAUAACUCGGAGAAAUCCGGAAUAAUACUCGAUAAAAGUGGGGGGGCAAAAGUCAUUCCCACUUAAAGCUCCGGCGGCUCAAGAGGGGCCUAUGUCUUAUCAGCUUGUUGGUGAGGUAACGGCUCACCAAGGCUACGACAAGUACCGGGUGUGAGAGCAUGACCCGGCUCACUGGGACUGAGACACUGCCCAGACUCCUACGGGAGGCUGCAGUCAAGAAUAUUCCCCAAUGCACGCAAGUGUGAGGGAGCGACGCCGCGUGAUUGAAGAAGCCCUUCGGGGUGUAAAAAUCUUUUAUGAGGGACGAACAAAUGACAGUACCUCAUGAAUAAGGGGCUGCUAAACUCGUGCCAGCAGCAGCGGUAAUACGAGUGCCCCGAGCGUUAUCCGGAUUUAUUGGGCGUAAAGCGUCUGUAGGUGGUUUUACACGUCUUUUGUUAAAUCCCAAGGCUCAACCUUGGGGCUGCGGGAGAUACGGUAAAACUUGAGGCCGGGAGAGGCAAGCGGAAUUGCUGGUGUAGGGGUUAAAUCCAUUAAUAUCAGCAAGAACACCAAAAGCGAAGGCAGCUUGCUGGAACGUGCCUGACACUCAGUAGACGAAAGCGUGGGGAGCGAAUGGGAUUAGAUACCCCAGUAGUCCACGCCGUAAACAAUGGAUACUAAGUAUUGGCAGUAUCGACCCUGCCAGUGCUGUUUACCUAAGCUAACGCGUUAAGUAUCCCGCCUGGGGAGUACGGCCGCAAGGCUAAAACUCAAAGGAAUAGACGGGGACCCGCACAAGCGGUGGAGCAUGUGGUUUAAUUCGAUGAUAAGCGAGGAACCUCACCAGGGUUUGACAUCUAGCUGCAUACCCUAGAGAUAGGGAGUCUUUCGAAGGUGCUAGACAGGUGCUGCAUGGUUGUCGUCAGCUCGUGUCGUGAGAUGUACCGUUAAGUCGGGAAACGAGCGCAACCCCUAUCCGGUGUUUUAUAUGUCACCGGAGACUGCCCGCAUUAAGUGGGAGGAAGGCGGGGAUGACGUCAAAUCAGCAUGGUUCUUACAUCCUGGGCGACACACGUGCUACAAUGGGAGGUAUAACGGGAAGCCAAACCGCAAGGUGGAGCAAAUCCUUAUAAAACCUCUCUCAGUUCGGAUUGGAGUCUGCAACUCGACUCCAUGAAGUCGGAAUCGCUAGUAAACGCGCAUCAGCCACGGCGCGUUGAAUACGUUCUCGGGUCUUGUACUCACCGCCCGUCACGUCAAGAGAGUCGGGGGCACCCGAAUCCCGAUUUUUCGGGAGAAGGUGAAACCGAUGAUAGGGACGAAGUCGUAACAAGGCAUCCGUAGCGGAAGCUGUGGAUGGAUCACCUCCUUU
rnacentral:rRNA from 1 species